GACAGAGGGUGCAAACGUUGUUCGGAAUUACUGGGCGUAAAGCGCGUGUAGGCGGCUAAGUAAGUCGGGCGUGAAAUCCCACGGCUCAACCGUGGAAGUGCACUCGAAACUGCAUAGCUAGAGUCCUGGAGAGGAAGGUGGAAUGCUUGGUGUAGAGGUGAAAUUCGUAGAUAUCAAGCGGAACACCGGUGGCGAAGGCGGCGAUCUGGGUCGAUACUGACGCUGAGGUGCGAAAGCGUGGGGAGCAAGCAGG
rnacentral:rRNA from 1 species